rnacentral:rRNA from 1 species
AGAGCGAACGCUGGCGGCAGGCUUAACACAUGCAAGUCGAGCGCCCCGCAAGGGGAGCGGCAGACGGGAGAGUAACACGUGGGAACGUACCUUUCGGUUCGGAACAACCCAGGGAAACUUGGGCUAAUACCGGAUACGUCCGUAAGGAGAAAGAUUUAUCGCCGAAAGAUCGGCCCGCGUCUGAUUAGCUAGUUGGUGAGGUAACGGCUCACCAAGGCGACGAUCAGUAGCUGGUCUGAGAGGAUGAUCAGCCUCACUGGGACUGAGACACGGCCCAGACUCCUACGGGAGGCAGCAGUGGGGAAUAUUGGACAAUGGGCGCAAGCCUGAUCCAGCCAUGCCGCGUGGGUGAUGAAGGCCCUAGGGUUGUAAAGCCCUUUCGGGCGGGGAAGAUAAUGACGGUACCCGCAGAAGAAGCCCCGGCUAACUUCGUGCCAGCAGCCGC